rnacentral:tRNA from 6 species
GGGCUAUUAGCUCAGGUGGUUAGAGCGCACCCCUGAUAAGGGUGAGGUCCCUGGUUCAAGUCCAGGAUGGCCCACCA